rnacentral:rRNA from 1 species
AGCGUAGGCGGCGCGGUAAGUCAGAUGUGAAAUCCCGGGGCUCAACCCCGGAACUGCAUCCGAUACUGCCGUGCUAGAGGAUUGGAGAGGUAGCUGGAAUUCUUGGUGUAGCAGUGAAAUGCGUGGAUAUCAAGAGGAACACUCGUGGCGAAAGCGAGCUACUGGACAACUCCUGACGCUGAGGCUCGAAGGCCAGGGUAGCGAAAG